CUCACUUAGCUUGUAAUUUAGCACGGAAACUUAACAUGGGAAAGGGUCUCCGUCUAGUGUAGGGAGACGAGAAGAGAAGGGCAGCUUCCAUCUUUGUUUGGUUCUUUCUUUGGCUUGAAUAAAAAUCCGUCCCCUUUUCUUUUCAUUUCGCGAUUCUUAGCAUAAUACUAAUCUGCCGAUUCACAAUCAGCCAAAGCGACUUUUCUCUCUUCUUCUUUUCAAAUUCGUAUCCAAUUCACGCGUUAUUCUCUUCCCAUUUCGGCCCUUCUUUCUCCAUCCCUGAUCCGUAGGCUUUUUACUUGAUCUCCCUUCUCUAUACCCUUUUGAUCGCUUCUGUUUCUUGGGUAUUUUUUUUUUUGCUGGGUUUCAAAUUUUAGAAUCAAAGAGGGAAAUUAUUUGCAACUUUUGGACUGAUUGU
rnacentral:misc_RNA from 1 species